UCACCGAAACCACUGACUUCAGUUCAGGAACGAGGGCGGGGGACCCACCAUCCCACCGGAUAACGGCGGAACGUCGAGAGACGUACCGCCUUGGGGUUAAGUCCACAACCGGACAGCAGUCCGGCGCAGGACCGGGCACCUCUCGCUCGAACCCGACAGCUUACUUCGCAGGCGCGUGGAGAGAGGAAAA
rnacentral:sRNA from 2 species